GGUGACCUUGAGGUCCAUAAUUGCAGCGAGAUGUUAAUAUACAACUAAGACAAAUGAACCGUCCAAACCGAAACAAGUCAUCCGUAAUACAUUAAGUACUUCAUUAUGGGCAUGUAGCAGCUCCAAAUGACAGGUGACUUAGUGGCGAGAGGGGAGGUGGCUGCAACGACAACGAUGAUGCUGGUUUCACAUUAUCCCGGUUAGUGGCGAGGGGGGAGGUGGCAGCAACGACAACGAUGAUGCUGGUUUCACAGUGGCGACGAUGAGGUGGUGGUGCUGUUGUUGGAGGCGGCAUUGGUUGUUUAUGAAUCUGGCUUGGGGGAACGCCAGCGCAAACUUCAUUAGCCAAACCUUCAUGAACAAGGUUAAAAUACAGGACCUUGAAAAGGUUUUCGAACCUCUAUUCUACAGCUGGAGAUUGAAGAGGAAAUCUAAAGAAUCAUUUGGCGACUUCACAAAUCGCGAGGGGUUUGAAAAACUUGAAGAAAUAGUUGGCAAGUGGGAGGGGGUACCAAAAUCAUCAUCGCGAUACUACUUGAAGCUUUUCACCGACAAGGAAACAUAUGAAGUUGGCGCACUUGCAAGGUUGAGAAUAAGAGUGCUCAUCAACUCGCAAUCGAGGUUAUUCGUAAUUAUGCUGCUUCCCAGCAAAAUGGCAAGCACCAGUAAUAUUACCAAGCCGCAAGUCCGCAACUGGAAUAAGAGUGUUUCGUGUUUCAAUUAAGCCGUUGAUUCAAACCUGCGAACACAAUUUGAGCUACAAGGUAUCCUGGUCAAUUCUCAAUUCUCUGGAUUCGAAGAAUGUGUUCCCAUGGUUAUUACAUUGAUGCUCAAAAUGGCCCGUCGUUGGUUAGUUUAACCCUCUUAAAGAAUAGGCAGAGGCGGUGACCGGAGGGUCGCCACCGGCGGAUUCAGUCCGUCUUGAUGGCGGUGAUUUCCAGACCCUGUUAUGAUGUUGGCUUACUACCUGGUAUGGAAACUUUGGUUGCAACGGUAGCACCAUUGAGCGGGUUGAAUGACGAUGAUGAUCUUUCAGAUCCGAGUCAAUUUGUUUUCAUUUUUGGUUUGUUUCCUCUCUAAGAUUGAUUAGAUGGUUGUGUUAGUAGUGGUGGUCAUGCUGUUGUUGGUCGUGAUAUUGGUGGUUGUGUUAACAAUAGCUGUUAAAAGGCGGGCUUUUUAUGUUUGUGUUGAAUAGUAUAGAUUGUGUAUAUGUUGCUUUAAUGGGGAUUUGAAACAUUUCCCGGCGAUGAUGGCGGCUUGCUACUAGGCGUGGCAACUCCAUUUGCAGCUGUAGCAGAUUUGAGUCGUAUUUUGUACGGUCGAUUAUGAAGUGCCAUUCUGAGCAUCUUCACUUUGUCACGAGUCGAAUGGUUUUGUAACCUAUAUAUAUAGUUCUUAAAAUGCAGUUUUGAAGGCGGCAAAUGUGUACACAACACAAAUGUGGUCUCCUUUUGUUUAUCCAAUUUUCUUUCUUUCUCCCACUUUUCUAAAGCUAUUUUUUGGUUCCUGUUGGUUUUUGAUGGUUAUUGUAAUCUUUGAUUUUAGUCAUGUGUACGUAUUUAAGUAAUCCUUUUUUGUCGGUGAUGAUGCGAGCCCUGAGUUCGUCAUCCUUACAUACAUACCAACAGUUCAAAAUUGAUUACUCAUAGCUAGCAAGAGAAAUACGGCCAAACUCACUGAAUGGAAGACGAAUCGCUAACUACCCAAGAAUAUGGAUUGCCAACUUUGGAAAGGGAAAUCGACCAAUCAAAGAAGGAAUUUGCUUCCUGAUUUGUUUGCUUAUGUAUUUAUACAACUCAUAAUCUCUGUUGUUGACCAUCCAGAUAUAGUCAUUUCAAUUUUGAAAAGGUUUCAGACGUUUCACUCUUGUGCGAACUGCGAUUGAGGUAUUACUACUCUACCUUUUUAACGUGGGUUCAGCCUUCAAGUAUUCACUCUUUAUUGGCUGAUUAUCUAUUUUGGUUAGUUUUUGUUUCAAUUGUGUACCAGUGUAUUUUCUAUUUUAAUUAUGUUACUUGAAGUCUAGAACAAAUCGAUUGCACAUUUCUACUGCUGCUAAUGUCGUCUCCGACAGAAGAUAUCCAUGUCUGGCGACAAAGAUAGAUAUCCAUGUCUGGCGACAAAGAUAAUAUAUAUGGGCUUUGUGAUGAUGGUGGUAAAGGAUCACAUCGGCAACGACAAGGAAUGAAGCUGUUGAUUUGCUUUGGCGUCGAUUACCAGAACCAUGAAUGGCGCUUUGGUGGAAGACGGUGGAGUUUAGUGAUGGUAGUCAUGAAUCCGGCGGCUACUAAGGUUUUAAUGUUGGUGGCGUUCGUUUCUUUUAUCUGCGUCGGGAACAAUACGGUCUUGAAGCAUGGUUUGAGCAUUUUAAACGACCCCAAUAAACGCUCUGCUCUUGGUCUAGAAGGUUAAAUGACACGUCCAAAGGUAGGAAGUCCCUUAAAAAACAUCCGCAACACCAGCUGCAAAAACAAAACCUUCAACAAGGCCUCAUAACAAGUCCAAAGGUAGGAAGCUUUCAGUUUUAUAAAGCAAUCUAAUUUUACACAUUCGCUAAUUAGUAAUACACACAUGCAU